ACACUAUAAUUCGCUAUAUGCUGAGCUUGGAAGGAAUAAUGUUGUUUGUCAAGAAACACAAGCAUCUGUUAAUAAAAGUUUGGUAAACGUCUCGUAACGUCGAUAAGCCAGUACUUUAUAUAAUCAAAGAAGAAUUUUUAAAUCAUAUCAGAUAACCAAUCGUAAUGCUUUCUGUGAAUUACACCUACCAAGACAUUGUUCUGUGCAACAACAUAAGCAAAAUAAAACAGUAUUCAGCAAUAGCGCUUUAACAUUAAAUCUAAUUUACGACAUUUUUUUUAAAAAAAAAGUCAAGGAAUAACAAUAAGGCAUAAAUCACGACACUAAUUUCCAUUCUCUAUGUCAUUUGGAUGGACAUGAACAUGAACAUGAUCGCUUUCAAAUUGAUAUUGAGGUUGAUCCAAAAAAUAACUUCCGAUAAAAAUUAUUUUUUCUUAUAGAGCUCUUUUACAUUAUUUCCAACAUUUUGUCAUGAAAGGGCAUGAACACAAAAAAGAGGAGAAACAGAAUUUCAAAGCUUCAUUAAAGAAUAUCAAGCGUACAGCAAAAAGAUAAUUGAAUAACGUCUGAUUGAUAUACAUGGCCUGUGGUGUCAAGUUGACCAAUAAACUAAAAAAUGCACAAGACCGUGGUACGUUGUGCAAAUUAAUUUGCAAUGUGGACUCAAUCCUUUUUAGUAGUUUCCUCUUCACUAUCCUUUGGCUGUUCAGGGGCCAAAGCAUUUAUUUCUUUUAGAAUUUUGUGAAGCUCUCCUCUACAGACAAAUUGUUAAUACAGAAAUGUUGACAAGGAGAAAUAAUUAAAUAUGAGAGAAAAAAUGAGGGAGAGAACAAUGUGGCAUAUAUAGACGACGAAUUAAAGACACUGAUACACUAAUAGUUGAUUUUUAUCCAAUGCUUUAAAAGGGAAAGUUCAUUUGAAGAAAGAGCGAAAAUAUAACAGGGUUUUUUUAUCUUUAAUAUCAACUAGAGUGAUUAAACAGUUGUAGAAUCCUCCUUCAUCAUCUUUAACAUUUCCUAUGACACCUCCUCAAUCCUCACCGUCUCUCUACCAAAUAAUAAAAAUACAGUUUAAAACAUUACUUACGAUUUAUGCAUGGACGCCAAGAUAUCACUACCGCCCACGAAUUCUCCGUUAAUAUAAAGUUGAGGAAUCGUAGGCCAGUCGCUGAACUCCUUUAUACCUUCACGUAGCUCAUCAUUACUCAAAACGUUGUACGUAACUAAUUUAUCGGAAGCAACGUUUUCUAAUGAAAGAAUUUGAAUCGCCUUUAAUGAAAAUCCACACAUUGGGCGGGUAGGUGUACCUUUCAUGAAUAAAACGAUAGGAUCCUCUUUGACGGCCUGUUCAAGAGCUUGACGAGUUUGUGUGGACAGCAUGCGAAGUUGCAUGGAUAUACUGGUUUUAGGAAUCCAAAAUCUAAACAUCGAAUUCAUCUUGAAUAUGGAUAUUGUAAAGUGUUUAUAAUAAGGCAAUUUUGAGCUUGAAUGUCAACUCAUUGAUUCGCCGCAGAUAAAAGUGUAAGAAGCCGUACCACGUUCUAUUGCGCUAUAUAGAAUUCUUCCAAGUCUUAAAUCAGUAUAAUAUUAUAGAAAAUCAGUACUUUUAGAAAAGUUUUAUAAGAAUAUUUAUUUUAUUAGAAAAGUAUAUCGUGGGAUAAAAGACUUAAUAUUGUACUAAUCAGUUUCUGAUUUCGAGAAGAACGCAGCUAAAUCAAAUUCCUUAAUGAAUAUAGAUUUUGCAAUCCAUCUGGCUCCCUUGGCCCUUUAUUUCUAUUAAAGGAAUGUAAAAAUAUAAUGGAUCCUGGCUCUUUUCCGAAAUUCCUGAUAACUCAUAUUUGUUCUCUAUAAAAUAUAUGCAUAGCUUCCGCUCCAACUUAUGGUAGUUUAUUAUGUUCUUUGGGUCCUCUCUGUUUUCCAAAGUAAAUAUAUUCCUCUUACUUUUACCUUAUCCUUUGAAGUACUUUUACAGUUUUUUGCCUCUUUCCCUAUCCGUCUCACUGAGCGAUAGUAGUUCACAGGGUAAUGAAUAAUGUAAUUAACUAUAUAAGUCUGGAA